AACGAGCGUUGGCGGCGUGGAUUAGGCAUGCAAGUCGAGCGAGAACCGUAGCAAUACGGGGACAGCGGCGAAAGGGACAGUAAUGUGUAGGUACCUACCCCCGGGUUCGGGAUAGCUGCGGGAAACUGCAGGUAAUACCGAAUAAUGUCUCCGGACCAAAGGUGUGAUUCCACCUGGGGAGGGCCUGCAUCCUAUUAGCUUGUUGGUGGGGUAACGGCCUACCAAGGCAACGAUGGGUAGCGGGUGUGAGAGCAUGACCCGCGUCAUUGGGACUGAGACACUGCCCAGACACCGACGGGUGGCUGCAGUCGAGGAUCUUCGGCAAUGGGCGCAAGCCUGACCGAGCGACGCCGCGUGCGGGAUGAAGGCCUUCGGGUUGUAAACCGCUGUCGUAGGGGAGGAAAUGCAGGAGGGUUCUCCCUCCUGUUUGACCUAUCCUAGGAGGAAGUACGGGCUAAGUUCGUGCCAGCCGCCGCGGUAA
rnacentral:rRNA from 1 species